UUUUGUGUUUUAUUAAAUUAAUAUAUCUUUCAGUGUUUGGACAAAAAAUAUUCUAUAUACUAACGAAGCCUAGUUUCUGACCUACGUACCAAUUGAAUAUACCAAAAAUUUAUUAUAAUUCAGCUCUAUGAUCUGAAAAAUGAUUUUGCAAUAAUACAAUACAAUAAAACAUAUCACGAUAGUUGGAACAAAAAUACAAAUCUAGACUAAGUAUAUACAAUUUACAAAAACAAUUUCAUGAGGUUUGUUAUUAUAAAUUCAAUCUAACUCAAAGGUACUAUUGGUGGGCAGAUAUUAAUCAAUCCACAACACACAGUCACUAUUUUAUCCAAAAUCGUAUCAUCUUCAUCACAAGGCUAAAUGCGCCUAUAGGGAAGCAAAGGCCAAAAACUUUGAGUGAAGUGAAGUGAAUCUUCAUCACAAACAAGCAGAGAAAUUGGCACAAUAUGAUUGAAUCCUAUAUUUUUGACGAAUGCAACCUAUUACUCUUUUAACAUGAAUCCUGACAUGUGCAAUGGCUCUAGUUCCUUCAAAUUUCUAAUUCAAUUGGAUGCAACUGCUUCUUUCCUUUAGUAAAAGCAAAAAUUCGCUAGGUAUUUUGUCGAAGUUCACUGAUCACGAUCCUCACAGCUUCCGCAAUUUACAACACAACACGUUAUAGGCAUGAUUUUAUGUUAUAAAGGACGAUUGAUAUGUAAAAUCAGCCUCAGACAACGAAUUUAAGCAAGCAGUAACACAAUCACCCACAAAGACAAGUUGAUUAUGAACUUUUUCUAGUUUUCUUUCCAUUAGAAUAAACAUGUGUGCCUACAGGCGGCCAUUUUGAUUUAAUUUUGACAGCAUCUCGGACAGGUCUAUUGCGCGUGGUCCAACUUCAAAAAAUUUUACAUGGAGACCUCAUGGAGGUUUGAAUUCAAUAUGGAACUACACAAGUACAUAAUGAAUGUUAGUUUUUAAACAUCUUGAUCUAGAUACCUUCAUGAUUUCUAAAUGUAUCAAUGUCAGAACAUCAUUGAAAUUCCCUAUUAUAAUUUUUUUAUAUUGAAAUGAAACUAGUGAAUUUUCUAUUGACGUAGAUCAAUUCAGGUAAACUUAACGUCACAGCUGUCAACAAAUUCCGCUCCCACUCCACAUCUAACCUAAAACUUAAUCAACGUUCAUUCAUUUAAUUCAGUUACCUGAGAUAAUGAUUAAAAUUAAUAUAAAUUCAUAGUAAUUUAAGGAAGCUUCAUAUUCCAAACUAAACGCGGACAAGCUUCUAUUCCAGUAGUAAUAAUCACUUUGUAAUCUGAAGUAACAAUGGCAAAUAUUAUAAAAUUAUCUGAAAUCAAUGAUUAUUUUCGUGACGAUUUGAAAUGCAUACAAAGAGGUGAAGAACAGAGUCUUUCGUCUGGACAUUUAGAAAUGUGCAAUUUUGAUGCAGGAUUGAAAAUCAUUAAGGGAAAAGUGAAAGCAAGCAUGAGGAACUAGAGCUAUGAUAUUGAGGAAGCUGUGACUUGGAAAGGGUGAAACAAAUUCAAUGGGGUCGCCGAGCGAAAUUAAUGGGAUUCAAUCUUUUGAAAAACUAACAGAAACAAAGGUCGUGCUAACAGGACUAUGGCUACAUCCUUGUGGAUUUUUGGGGGCUUCUCCAGAUGGACUACUUUUUUCAGAUGGAAUAAUUGAAGUCAAGUGUCCAUAUACCUUGAGGAACUGCACCUUGGCAGAUAAUUUGAAGAAAAGUGACAUUUUAUUCAGUGAAAAUGGUGAAUAUAUUGUCAAUAAAGAUAAUAAUUAUUAUGAUCAAAUUCAGGGGUAGCUACACAUUACUGAAAGAGACUAUUGUUACCUAGUUUUAUGGACCACUGCUGAUAUUGCCAUCAAGAAAAUUGAAAAGGAUAACAGUUGGGAAAAAAUAUCAUAUACUGAAAGAGUUUUAUUUGAAUGAAUAUCUCACUUAUAUAAGCUCAUGUUGUAUUGUAUUUAUUAUUUUUUAAUAUAUGCAAAUGAAUUUUGA
rnacentral:lncRNA from 1 species